rnacentral:lncRNA from 10 species
GUAAAACUUUUUCCGAGCAUUUUUGUAGCAGAACUCCAUGUUCUAAUAGCCCCGGCAAAGUUGUUUUUAAUACUUUUUCUCUACGAAUUUUCAUUAAAAUUUAAUUCCAUUUUAACUUUGUCAAUUUUCCCCAAAGAUAAAUUAAGACACACAGAGAGAUUGUCAUUUCCUGUUUGAAGUCUCAUUCCUGUGUACAAUGUCAGUCUUUUUUAUUUAGGCCUAUGCCAUUCCAUCAGGGUAAAUAACUUUCUAACUAGUCAUUUAAGAGCAACUCCCGGGAAACUGUGAUGCAAUCCCACAUAUCAGCCAGACUUCAAAAGCUGCCAGAUUAUUGUGAAAGGAGAAACACUGUUUUCGAAGGCUGCUGAUAAUGCCUAUUAGCCAGAAGAAAGAGCCUGAAUCAUUCAAAGGUUUUCCAUCUAGUAAAGAAGUGUGGUAAAAAUCUUGCCCAGAUCUGCAUGUGCUAAGCAUCUACGUAAGUUGGAGCAUCAUAUUAAUGACACCCAGUGAAGAAACGAAAGAAUGAAGUGUAAUUACUAUAUCAAAAAUCCACAGAAUGUGAAAGUAUAAAGGAAAACUCUCAGGUGAGACUCGAUUAUUUUUAUUUCAAAGAUCUAGGUAAAAAUGUGAACAGAUUGGGAGGCUGAGGCAGGAGAAUCACUUGAACCCAGGAGGCAGAAGUUGCAGUGAGCCAAGAUUGCACCAUUGGACUCCAGCCUGGGCAACAGACAAGACUCUAUCUCAAAAAAAAAAUGUGAACAGAUAUAUUGACAUAAAAUUCAUAAAACAUAUGGAUAUACUAAAAACUAGGAAGUCUGGUUGCUUCUGAGGAUAAGAGUUGAGGACCUGUUUCAAGAAUACUUUGCACAGCUUGUACUAUUGCAGUAUUUGAAUUUUUUCUUGUACAUGUAUAACUUUUUUAAAAAGAAUGAGAAAUGCUGUACAAGUGCAACUAUUUUUACUGUAAGUUUUUAUUUCCAUAAAACUAUAAUUAAGUGUGUGGUCAAUAGAUCCUGUUAUAUAGCUAUGAUAUCCCUUGAAUUUGUUUACCUGGUAACACUAGCUCACGUUUGUAAAUCCUUUGGAACUCCCAAAGCGAUUUUACAUACAUUACCUAAUUUGUAAGAUUACAAAACUAUUACA